AAGAAAUCUAAGCAAACCUGAGGGGUCAGUUCCCGAGACAGAGGUUGGAAAUUUGCAUCUGGGGGAGAGCCAGUUCGGUCCCUCUGUAGCCUAAAUGGAGCAAGGUGACUGGGAAGGGGGCAGGCUUCCAGCAUCUGCUCCUCCAGGACAGCCCCUUCUUUCUGCCUGGCACACGCGCCGCUGAACACAAGGGUUCGAGCCCGGAGAACACCGGGACACCCAGCCCGACCCUAACUGUCCAGCCUGCCUGCAGCAGCCCCUGGAACACGUGCGAGAGGCCGCUCAGUCGUCGAGAGCUGCGCUGUCCAGCCCUUUCCCGCGUCGAUCCCGCGCGGAAUCCCCUCAGGCGCCGUGAAAGAAGCUAUUGGUUGACAACAAAACCCUUAGCCUACAUAGGUCACUGGUUCUCAAAGUAGAUGCGGCUACCCCACCCCACACCACUUUAUCCCUAAAGUGGGAUUCCAGAAGGCCAGAACCAUUUUCAUAAUUGUGGAAAAUAUAAUGGAAUUUCCGUCUGUGCAUUUGGAAAGGCUGUAUAACUUAGUGAACCAACAUUCUCCACUUGAUCAAUGCAUCGUGUUACAAAAUCAUGCGUGGAUUGUAUUUUGGAGAGCUAAUUCUGUCAGUUACUAGGAAUCAUCAUUUGCCUUCCCAUGUCUUGCUGAAUCUGCUUUCUACAUUGGGGUAGUAGUGACUCUUACAGAUCCAGGGACAUCACGCUGUGACAACGGAAGCGGAAAUCACAGUGCUGUCCCCACCAGCCAAGGAACACCAGGGAUGGCCAGCAAAUACCAGAAGCUGGAAAA